UACGUAGGGAGCAAGCGUUGUUCGGAUUUACUGGGCGUAAAGGGCGCGUAGGCGGUGCCACAAGUCACCUGUGAAAUCUCCGGGCUUAACUCGGAGCCUGCAGGCGAAACUGUGGUGCUGGAGUGUGGGAGAGGUGCGUGGAAUUCCGCGUGUAGCAGUGAAAUGCGUAGAGAUGCGGAGGAACACCGAUGGCGAAGGCAGCCCCCUGGGCUAACACUGACGCUCAGGCACGAAAGCGUGGGGAGCAAACAGG
rnacentral:rRNA from 1 species